rnacentral:rRNA from 1 species
CUAGUGGCGGACGGGUGAGUAACGCGUGGGUAACCUGCCUUAUACUGGGGGAUAACAGCCAGAAAUGGCUGCUAAUACCGCAUAAGCGCACAGGACCGCAUGGUCCAGUGUGAAAAACUCCGGUGGUAUAAGAUGGACCCGCGUUGGAUUAGCUAGUUGGCAGGGCAGCGGCCUACCAAGGCGACGAUCCAUAGCCGGCCUGAGAGGGUGAACGGCCACAUUGGGACUGAGACACGGCCCAGACUCCUACGGGAGGCAGCAGUGGGGAAUAUUGCACAAUGGGGGAAACCCUGAUGCAGCGACGCCGCGUGAAGGAAGAAGUAUCUCGGUAUGUAAACUUCUAUCAGCAGGGAAGAUAAUGACGGUACCUGACUAAGAAGCCCCGGCUAACUACGUGCCAGCAGCCGCGGUAAUACGUAGGGGGCAAGCGUUAUCCGGAUUUACUGGGUGUAAAGGGAGCGUAGACGGCGCAGCAAGUCUGAUGUGAAAGGCAGGGGCUUAACCCCUGGACUGCAUUGGAAACUGUUGAGCUUGAGUGCCGGAGGGGUAAGCGGAAUUCCUAGUGUAGCGGUGAAAUGCGUAGAUAUUAGGAGGACACCAGUGGCGAAGGCGGCUUACUGGACGGU